CUUAAUACGGCUCUUGUUUUUUAAAAAGCAUUGAGAUUGUCGAAUGACCCACGCCAAAUUCGGAUUAAUGGAAAAUACGGAUUAAGUCGUGGUCAAGGUGCUGCUGCCCGAAUGCUUAUAUUUACUAUUUAAGCAUUUGGUCUUUCCGAUAGUAAAUACAUAAAAGUAAUUUGACAAUCAUAAAAGAAAUGUAGCAAUAAAUAUAAAAAGUUCGCCACGUGUCGAACGUCGUCGGGUAUCAACGAACAUUACCGGAGGUGUCAAGAAUCAUGUUGGUCAUUAUAACCGGACAUAAUCUAUUAAAAAUGGGUCAUAAUAAGCGACAUGUCACUGUAAGCGAAGUCAUUAUAUCCGACUUUUUUAUACAGAAUUUUAUAUAAAAACCAAACUUGGUAGUGUAGUUACGUCAUAAUAACCGGUUGGUCAAUAUAAGCGGAGUCACAAUAAACGGAUUCUACUGUAAUUACGUCAUAAUAACCGGUUGGUUAAUAUAGGCGGAUUCAUAACACGGCUCAACAAAAAAAAUACAUAUAUGUGGUCAAUUUAUAUAAGUUCGAGACACAAAAUUUGAACUGAAGACAUCACAGGUUCUCUGUGAAGCUUACGAAGCAUAUUUUUAUUUUCCUGUUCGCAAUCAAGACAAGUCAUGGGCCCCACAUGUUGCUUGUAGUAGUUGUAAAAGAUCUUUGGAAGGUUGGUAUCGAGGAGAGAAAAGAUUUAUGAAAUUCGCAGUACCAAGAAUCUGGCGAGAACCGAAAGACCACGUUGUAAAUCCAAAUAAAAGAGCGCAAAAAAUGCAAAACCUAUUGAA